UACGGAGGGUGCGAGCGUUGUUCGGAUUUACUGGGCGUAAAGGGCGCGUAGGCGGCCACCGCAAGUCGACUGUGAAAUCUCCGGGCUUAACCCGGAAAGGUCAGCCGAUACUGCGGGGCUAGAGUGCAGAAGGGGCAACUGGAAUUCUCGGUGUAGCGGUGAAAUGCGUAGAUAUCGAGAGGAACACCUGCGGCGAAGGCGGGUUGCUGGGCUGACACUGACGCUGAUGCGCGAAAGCGAGGGUAGCAAACGGG
rnacentral:rRNA from 1 species